rnacentral:rRNA from 1 species
UACGUAGGGGGCAAGCGUUGUCCGGAAUCAUUGGGCGUAAAGAGCGUGUAGGCGGUCCGGUAAGUCGGCUGUGAAAGUCCAGGGCUCAACCCUGGGAUGCCGGUCGAUACUGCCGGACUAGAGUUCGGAAGAGGCGAGUGGAAUUCCCGGUGUAGCGGUGAAAUGCGCAGAUAUCGGGAGGAACACCUAUGGCGAAGGCAGCUCGCUGGGACGUUACUGACGCUUAGACGCGAAAGCGUGGGGAGCAAACAGG